rnacentral:tRNA from 1 species
UGGGAUGUGGUUCAAUGGUAGAGUGCAUGUGUAACAUGCAUGAGGUCCUGGGUUCAAUCCCCAGCAAAUAAA